UUUCUUUAUUGGCAAUGUAAGUAAAAUUUGUUAUCAUCGAUCGGUCCAACAGAUAGAAUCCACUCCAACUUUAGAGGACAGUCAAACUUCGCAGUGCGAAAGAUUUCUUAUAUACCAAAUCUGUAAAAGAAUCUGCACUCGUUAAGGAGUUGGCUUAUAUAUGUAUCCUUACGCGGGUAUCGCUGCCUGUCUUUAUAUGUCGGUGGUAUGUUUGCAAACUCAUAUAAUAUUCUGAUAAAAAAUCUUUCCAUUAG
rnacentral:lncRNA from 1 species